AUACGAAGGGUGCUAGCGUUGUUCGGAAUUACUGGGCGUAAAGAGCAUGUAGGCGGAUUGAUUAGUCAGAGGUGAAAGCCCCGAGCUCAACUUGGGAAUUGCCUUUGAUACUGUCAAUCUAGAGACCGAGAGAGGUGAGUGGAAUUCCCAGUGUAGAGGUGAAAUUCGUAGAUAUUGGGAAGAACACCAGUGGCGAAGGCGGCUCACUGGCUCGGUACUGACGCUGAGAUGCGAAAGCGUGGGGGGCAAACAGGAUUAGAAACCCCAGUAGUCC
rnacentral:rRNA from 1 species